rnacentral:misc_RNA from 1 species
GAUGAAGAACGCAGUGAAAUGCGAUAAGUAGUGUGAAUUGCAGAAUUCAGUGAAUCAUCGAAUCUUUGAACGCACAUUGCGCCCCUUGGUAUUCCAUGGGGCAUGCCUGUUUGAGCGUCAUUUGUACCUUCAAGCUCUGCUUGGUGUUGGGUGUUUGUCUCGCCUCUGCGUGUAGACUCGCCUCAAAACAAUUGGCAGCCGGCGUAUUGAUUUCGGAGCGCAGUACAUCUCGCGCUUUGCACUCAUAACGACGACGUCCAAAAGUACAUUUUUACACUCUUGACCUCGGAUCAGGUAGGGAUACCCGCUGAACUUAAGCAUAUCAAUAAGCGGAGGA